rnacentral:misc_RNA from 1 species
CCCCCUGUAUAUGAAUGAGAGUGGAUGUUACGUAAUUAAUCCAGCAUUUAUGUGCAAUAGUAUGGGCUGUGUCCAAGGUGGGUAUCAUGUGGCUAUGGCUUUGUAUUUUUACCAAGGUAUUAUUUGACAUGAAACGGCAACUAGUUGCAGUCGUGUGGACAUUACAUUGCCCAUUUGGGACGCAGCUCAACUUUCAUCUCCAAAAAUGUGAAAACUCGAAAGUACACCAUGUGGGCUAUACAUGUAGGUACGUGGUAGCAAUGGCAUUCACAUAUCAUCCCAGCCUAGCUCUUUACAUGAGGGAGUGCUUGUGUACAGAAGCUAUUUGUUGCGGUUAGCGUCUACUAGUUAAAGCUAAACUAGGAUCCAUCAGUAACAAAGAGGAUGCCAGCUGAAUCAUCAUAUUCAAGCUAACCAUCUCUUGUUCACUUCGCAGAUCAGCUUUGCAGUGUCCAACUGUAAAGCGAGAUCUUGAUGUCAUUUGAGCUGGAUUCGAUGCCCAGCCAAUUCUACAGAGCUGCAGCCUAAGUAUAGAAAUUUCUUCUGGCGUAGCAAUAUAUUUGCUCAACAGUAAGGACGAGAUAUCUGAGCCAAAAUGCCGCAUGACCAUUUGACAUAUAUAUCUAGGGAAUGUUUUCACAGUUGAUUGCUGCAUAGACAUUUGCCAAGCUGUAUUACCUACCUACCCAGCUCCACGAAUUUGCCCAUCUUACCAAGUUAAUUAGCCAAGGACUGUACAGAUCAGAUGACAACUCCCAAAACAGUUGGGCUGGGGACUCAUGCAAUGGAGGAGGGGAGACAUGCCAGAUGUGCUACACCCCCUUCCCCGUUGGAAAUGUUGAAAUGUCCACAUCCUAUCUGGCACAGUCAAUUUUGCUGACAGUGUCCCUUCAAAUUUCACCCUAAUUUCACUACUGCCUUCAAAAAUUAAAACAUAAAGAGUAAGUCCUAAAGGUAUUGUAGGGAUUUUUAGAGAAUAUCCUGAUCUUUCUGGUCAUGAACAAGGAAAUAUCUCUCAUCUGUAGCUGUAAACUACCAGCAGAAAUAAAAUCUAGCACUUGGUACACAAAUGACUGGUAUGUUAUUUUGCCAUUUUUUUAAAGUAUAUGAGCAUAUACAUAGUACAAGCAUCUGUCAGCAACAUCUUUUUUUCUCCCGACGUGGACAACUUUUCAAAUAAGCUGCUUCUCAGAAGGUUCAUUCCUUGUCAGAUUUGUACAUGAAGACUGUGCUGCACAUAGACCUGCCAGCAUUGUGCCAUUCGCGUUGCCGAUGAUGAGUUUGAAUGCAUUUCAUUUUGUAUCAGGGAAACUAGACUCGAGUAGGACAAAGGAAUGGGAGAAAAAAAUGAGGGAACAGAUGGAUAGGUUGGUGUUUGUUCUGAUGCAAUCAAAGGAUGGCGAAUUUUCAAAACAAAAAUCACAUGUACAUGUAUAGUACUUGUCCUUGGUGUUUUGAUGGAUGGUUCAUAUUUGGCAGAAGUUAUCUCUUCAGAUGUGUGCGUGCAUGCACACGUUAGAAUUAAUUUACAAAAUUCUCAUCUUGACAAUAUAAAGAUUGAGUUUAUUAUGAAAAGACCUGACAGGUAUGCACUCUCCCAAGGUAAUCUAAAGUCACUGAUUGCCUAUAGUACUCAACAGAGCUGAAGUUAUUCCCAUCUUAUCUCACUUUCGCAGAGCUAUCGAUUGCUUAACAAAUUUCAAGCAACAGAAAUGAACAGAAAAUCAUUAAGUACACGGAGCAAUACAGAGCACAUGACAGGCUACCUGGGGAUGUGUUUAAUUGUUGAGUGAAUCACAUGUCUGAACUGUACAACUGUAAAUUGUUGUUUUUAGAGGCAGGUUCAUACGUUUGGCUUCCUGCGGAUCUCAACCUUUAAACUAUCAGCUUGCUCAUACGUGUGGUAUUUCUUUGAAGUGAAUAACUUUUGUAGCUUCUGCAGCCCACAGUAUGCAGAGGCUAAUGGACUGCGUUGGAGGGUAUUUUUUUAAAAAUUGAAUCCACCUUUGCAAGUCAUUUUUCAGUCCAAGUCAUCAACUAAAUAUGAUCAGAUGAGCAGCCUGCUCUGUUAUGGUGAAAACACCAUCUGGCUCACAUGUGCUCAUUGUUCCUGUGAAUUUCUUUAACCUUUGCAGACAUUACAUUCUGCUUACAGGCUUUUUUUAUGCCAAACUAACAAUCAGUUUGCUUUUCAUAGCCAAGCAGUUAUGCCAAUCCAGUUGUUGCCGUGGGCCAUAUCGGCAUUUCAUGCAAUUGCGUCUCAUUUGUAGGACAUGGACAAAUGGGAAGGUUUUAAGGUAGCACAUUUGGUUUUUGUUCUGCAUUAGGAUUCAUUGUGCAGUGCCUGGUGACAAUCAUCAUGCAGUGCAGCCAGGCUGCUUUCAGUGGGAGGUCUCACGAGUUUGGGAAAAUUACGGAAUAGGGGAAAUCAAUUUGCACAUAUGCAGGGCAGGCGACAUUCAUUUUUUCUGCCCAAAAUGAUCGAUGUCGCUCUGAAAUUUUGCCGUCAGAUUUGACAAACAUUUCUAGAAACGCCCACAUCCAUUAAGCAGGAGGGAGCCUAUAGCUGUGUUUCUUCAUCUUGAUUAUUGAUGGUUGGUUCUAUAUUGCUGAUUAUCAUAAAAGAAUGUGUGUGCUUGCGAUUGGCUGCUGUAGCUUGCCCAUUUGUGGCCCUCAGGACAACUGUCUCUGCAAUAUGCCAGUGUAUCCUGUGAAAAUGAAGAGUGUUGACUUGAUACUCUUGUUUCAUAACAAACUCCAGUUAUAUGCUAAUUGUAUCCCACCAACAAAAUGUUAUCUCCUGAGUAAAUAAUUCCUCUCAGCCACUGGGGCCAGUCAUAACAGAGUGAAAUUUGAGUAGCCAUUCAUAGUCGUUCAUGUUCAACUCCCUGUAUGUAAAUAUACUGUAUGUAUAUAACUAUACUUUCCGAGACAGAGCACCUUAAUAGGCACUUACAUGUAAGGGUGACUGAAAAUUUGAAAAUUGAGUAUAGCAGUUUAUGUACAAGUACUUCAACAGGAUGUACUUUUUUGGUAUAUGCACAGCAAUGUUAUAAUGUACGUAUACGUUGGUAAACCACAGGAGCUUGAGGUUUUCAAAUGCAUUGAAUCAUUACAAGUUUUCUGAUGAGAACUUGUGUAAGUUCAGUUCUUUACGCAGAGGGAUAAAACAAUCGGUUAUAUCGCUCAAUCUGUGGAGGUCAUUUUUGUCAUCUGUCAAGGUUUUUUUGGGUGGGGGUUGGUAAGGAACUUGUUGUGGUAUUCUCCCAAAAGGCAGAUAUUGCCAAUAAUGAAAUGGCCAAUUCUAGAUGAUAUUUUUAAUAUUUCCUUAUCCAUGUAGGGGACAACAUGAUGUUUGUUUCACAACAGGACACAUUUUUUAUGUCUUGCAUUUUUCAUUAAUGUGUUGAAUUCUUUAACAAUGGCCCAAGCUAAAAUGCCACUCUUUGCUUGUUCACAGACUGAUACCAACUUUUGGUGAAACUGAAAGUGAACCAUGUGGAAGGAAGUGAUUGCAAAAGAGCUGUGUUUUGAAAUCUUUCAUGUCGUUUGUUUUCUUUGAAUACUUCAUACACAGCCCGUGCUGCUGCUUAUCUGUUGUAAGUUUAUUGUGUAGUAUGAUUACCUAGUCCAGAGAGAAAGCCAGAGAAAAUUGUAAACGUAACAGGGAAGGAAACGAACAAGGAAGUUGUUGGAAUAAUUUUUGAUCAGUUACACCAGUUAUUUGUAGCACAGCAAAUGUGAGACUUGAAAGGCAGAUGCAGAGAAGCACAUGAUGUAUAUGCAUUAUAGGAUGCAUGGAAGAAUGUUGUUACCAUUAAUUUCCAUUUCCACAUUGCUCCAUGGAUACCUACUUAACCUCCACGAGGAAGUUACUAAGAAGAGCUUAUUAUCAAGUGUCAAAGCUGACCCUUCGGCCUUACGGUUGGCUUCGAACCUUGCCCAUUAGGAGAACGGCUGCUGCUGUUGGUACUUUUGCCCCCUGUCGGCAAAGACAAGAGCAUUUUGAGCUGGGGAAGAAUGAUCUCAGCGUUGGCUGCUGCAGUCAAGUUGGAGAGGAGAGUGCGGAAGAAAGUGACUGGUCUUCAGAGGAUGAAGGCUCUGCCUCCAGACGGGUCCGUAAUGAUGGCGGCCACAGGAAAGCGCGGCGCAACCGGUCCCGCAGAGACCGUAAGCAAAAGGACGCUAAAUUGGAUGAGAAGCAGAAAGUCAGCAAACCCCCCGAGGAGAAACAGGAGAAUACGGCCACACCGGCCCCCAGCGCUCCGGUCACCCGGCUGGCCGAAGUCCUGUCCAGCAAGGAAGGGCUGAAGAGCGCUGCCUUGAAGUCCACUGCCAGGGAUAACUCCAAUGCCAAGGACGAGGCAGAAGGAAAGGUCUCCGAAGAAGUGCACAGCGACUCAACAACAAUCAUCAAGAUAAAACCCCCACCCACUGCACCCAAGCCCAGGGCAAAACGGACCAACAGCACCAAGUCCAGCGACGGCAUGGAGGACAAGCCUGGAGAGUCAAGAAACUGCAAAGCUGCAGAAGAUAAGAACACAGACGAAGUGACAGCCACCUUUGGUCCAGUAGAUGACAACAUUUUUGACGGGAUGGAGAUCACUAAGCCAAAGCUGACAUCUUACAAGCGCACCAUGGGGCCGCAGGGCCGUCGCCUGCCCCAGCGCUACUCCAACCAGGUCCAGUCGCAGCGCUUCUCCAACCAAAGCACCAAUUCCCUGGCCGCUGUGUCCGCCUAACGACUCACAGUCUGGACAAUGAGAGGUCUUCUUCUUCAGGAUUGUAAAUAAAGACAUGUAAUUAUUAAUUCAAUUGUUCUUCUUUCAAUACCUUCAAAUAGCCAACAAUCAAUGACGCUUGAGACUUUGAAGUUAUCUGUUGCACUAUAGAGAGAGAGAGAUAAAAAAGAGAUGGGUAUUUAAAAAGACAAGAUCAGAAGGUUUGCUGUGUUGAAAUGUUUCAGUCUCCAUGAUCGUGUCAGAACUAGGCGUUGUCAAGCUAACACUUCUGUCAGAUUGCAAGUAAAGCAUGUUGUGUAUCGCUUUUAAGCCGUGCCUAUCCGAUGGUUCUGUUUGUGGCCAUGGACAAGUGUCCCUGGCAGGCUCUUGAUUGUCACUGCCAUCUUGCAGCCAAUGUCCACACCAAGAGCCUACGGCCAGUGCACAUUCUGACCAAGCUUCUUUUGAAAAUAAAGACAGAAUAAACAAGUACAUCGCACAUGUUGUAUUGUCCUAAGGGGCAUUGUUGCCAAGACAACAAAAGUGAAGAAAAAAAGCGAAGGUGAGUAUUGCCGCAAAAAAUAAAGACAGAAUAAACAAGUACAUUGCACAUGUUGUAUUGUCCUAAGGGGCAUCGUUGCCAAGACAACAAAAGUGAAGAAAAAAAGCGAAGGUGUGUAUUGCCGCA